rnacentral:lncRNA from 1 species
CCACGACACUAUUUUCUUCAGUGUUGUGGUCCCCCAAUCAUAACCACCUGCACUCACUCACCUUUCAAAACUCCUAUUCAUUGGAACCUCACACACACACCACUAUAUUUAUCUUUCCAUCUUCACCAUGCUAACUUAUAUUUCUUAAAUGUUUUUGGCUUGGUUGCAGUGGCCGCUCUUCAUUGAUACAAACACUCCAACUAAUUAAAACCACACUGUCUUACGGUGAAACUAAACAAAACAGAAGCAACUAAACUUUUUCAAAGGUCAAAAAUUGCAAAUGAA